CUACGGGAGGCAGCAGUGGGGAAUCUUGCGCAAUGGGCGAAAGCCUGACGCAGCGACGCCGCGUGAGCGAUGAAGGCCCUCGGGUCGUAAAGCUCUGUGGGGAGAGAAGAAUAAGGCCUGGCCAAUACCCAGGUUGAUGACGGUAUCUCCUUAGCAAGCACCGGCUAACUCUGUGCCAGCAGCCGCGGUAAGACAGAGGGUGCAAACGUUGUUCGGAAUCACUGGGCGUAAAGCGCGUGUAGGCGGCAACGCAAGUCGGGUGUGAAAGCCCAUGGCUCAACCGUGGAAGUGCAUUCGAAACUGCGUAGCUCGAGUCUCGGAGAGGAAGGCGGAAUACUGGGUGUAGAGGUGAAAUUCGUAGAUAUCCAGUGGAACACCGGUGGCGAAGGCGGCCUUCUGGACGAUGACUGACGCUGAAACGCGAAAGCGUGGGGAGCAAACAGGAUUAGAUACCCGUGUAGUCC
rnacentral:rRNA from 1 species